rnacentral:rRNA from 1 species
GUGGGGAAUAUUGGACAAUGGGCGAAAGCCUGAUCCAGCCAUGCCGCGUGUGUGAAGAAGGUCUUCGGAUUGUAAAGCACUUUAAGUUGGGAGGAAGGGCAGUAAGUUAAUACCUUGCUGUUUUGACGUUACCGACAGAAUAAGCACCGGCUAACUUCGUGCCAGCAGCCGCGGUAAUACGAAGGGUGCAAGCGUUAAUCGGAAUUACUGGGCGUAAAGCGCGCGUAGGUGGUUUUGUAAGUUGGAGGUGAAAUCCCCGGGCUCAACCUGGGAACUGACUCCAAAACUGCAUGACUAGAGUACGGUAGAGGGUAGUGGAAUUUCCUGUGUAGCGGUGAAAUGCGUAGAUAUAGGAAGGAACACCAGUGGCGAAGGCGACUACCUGGACUGAUACUGACACUGAGGUGCGAAAGCGUGGGGAGCAAACAGGAUUAGAAACCCGAGUAGUCC